rnacentral:rRNA from 1 species
GAUGAACGCUGGCGGCGUGCUUAACACAUGCAAGUCGAACGGAAAGGCCCAAGCUUGCUUGGGUACUCGAGUGGCGAACGGGUGAGUAACACGUGGGUGAUCUGCCCUGCACUUCGGGAUAAGCCUGGGAAACUGGGUCUAAUACCGGAUAGGACCACCUCUUGGAUGUUGUGGGGGAAAGUUUUUUCGGUGUGGGAUGGGCUCGCGGCCUAUCAGCUUGUUGGUGGGGUAAUGGCCUACCAAGGCGUCGACGGGUAGCCGGCCUGAGAGGGUGUACGGCCACAUUGGGACUGAGAUACGGCCCAGACUCCUACGGGAGGCAGCAGUGGGGAAUAUUGCACAAUGGGCGGAAGCCUGAUGCAGCGACGCCGCGUGGGGGAUGACGGCCUUCGGGUUGUAAACUCCUUUCGCUAGGGACGAAGCGUUUUGUGCCGGUACCGGUAGAAGAAGCACCGCCUACCUACGU